rnacentral:rRNA from 1 species
UCCUGCUAAUACCGCAUAGCCAUGAGCACCGCAUGGAGCUCAUGCCAAAUAUCCUUUCGGGGAUAGCGCAGGGAUGGACCUAUGGCGCAUUAGCUUGUUGGCGGGGCAACGGCCCACCAAGGCAACGAUGCGUAGCCGGCCUGAGAGGGCGGACGGCCACAUUGGGACUGAGACACGGCCCAGACUCCUACGGGAGGCAGCAGUAGGGAAUUUUCGGCAAUGGGGGAAACCCUGACCGAGCAACGCCGCGUGAGCGAAGAAGGCCUUCGGGUCGUAAAGCUCUGUUGUAAAGGAAGAACGGCGCAUACAGGAAAUGGUAUGCGAGUGACGGUACUUUACCAGAAAGCCACGGCUAACUACGUGCCAGCAGCCGCGGUAAUACGUAGGUGGCGAGCGUUAUCCGGAAUCAUUGGGCGUAAAGAGGGAGCAGGCGGCCGCAAGGGUCUGUGGUGAAAGACCGAAGCUAAACUUCGGUAAGCCAUGGAAACCGGGCGGCUGGAGUGCGGAAGAGGAUCGUGGAAUUCCAUGUGUAGCGGUGAAAUGCGUAGAUAUAUGGAGGAACACCAGUGGCGAAGGCGACGGUCUGGGCCGCAACUGACGCUCAUUCCCGAAAGCGUGGGGAGCAAAUAGGAUUAGAUACCCUAGUAGUCCACGCCGUAA